AUGGAUAGGAACCCACAAAUUCUGUGUUGGAACGUGAGGGGGUUAAACAACCCUGCCAAAAGAAGCGCGGUUAGGGAGUUCGUUGUGUCGGCGAAGGUGAACCUUGUGUGCUUGCAAGAGACCAAGAUUGAUGUGUUUGAUCCGUUUAAUGUAAUGUAAUGCAUUGGGCCAUCUUUUGAUGGCUUUGACUAUGUCCCGGCGAUUGAUACGCGUGGUGGGAUCCUUUUGGGGUGGGAUACGACGGUCUUGGAGGUAGACAAUAUCAUUAGGGAUACCAAUUCGCUCACCGGGCUGGUUCACAAUAAGGAUGGGUCAGAGUGGUGGAUUACUGUGGUCUAUGGUCCGCAAGGUGAUGAAGCCAAGAUGCAAUUUAUUCUGGAUUUGCACAACACGAGGGCGGCGUGCCCGGGACCAUGGGUGCUUCUUGGUGAUUUCAACAUGAUCUUGCAUGCUGAUGAGAAGAGCAAUAACAACCUCAACCGAAGGAUCAUGUGGAAGUUCAGGAAGUUUGUGGAUAAUUGUGAGCUCAAAGAUGUCUACAUGCAUGGGAGGCGUUUCACGUGGACUAACGAGAGGGAACAACUGGUUCUAACCAAGAUUGACAGAGUGCUCGUUUCAGUUGAUUGGGAACUGAGUUUCCCGGAUGUCCUUUUACAAGCCCUCUCCUCCAUUAUUUCUGAUCAUGCCCCCCCUACAUCUCACCAUGUUGGCCCCGUUCUGCUCUAA
rnacentral:rRNA from 1 species